rnacentral:rRNA from 1 species
AGUGAACGCUGGCGGUAGGCCUAACACAUGCCAGUCGAACGGCAGCACAGUAAGAGCUUGCUCUUACGGGUGGCGAGUGGCGGACGGGUGAGGAAUACAUCGGAAUCUACUUUUUCGUGGGGGAUAACGUAGGGAAACUUACGCUAAUACCGCAUACGACCUACGGGUGAAAGCAGGGGAUCUUCGGACCUUGCGCGAUUGAAUGAGCCGCUGUCGGAUUAGCUAGUUGGCGGGGUAAAGGCCCACCAAGGCGACGAUCCGUAGCUGGUCUGAGAGGAUGAUCAGCCACACUGGAACUGAGACACGGUCCAGACGCCUACGGGAGGCAGCAGUGGGGAAUAUUGGACAAUGGGCGCAAGCCUGAUCCAGCCAUACCGCGUGGGUGAAGAAGGCCUUCGGGUUGUAAAGCCCUUUUGUUGGGAAAGAAAAGCAGCAGGUUAAUACCCCGCUGUUCUGACGGUACCCAAAGAAUAAGCACCGGCUAACUUCGUG